rnacentral:rRNA from 1 species
GACGAACGCUGGCGGCGUGCUUAACACAUGCAAGUCGAACGGAAAGGCCCUGCUUUUGUGGGGUGCUCGAGUGGCGAACGGGUGAGUAACACGUGAGUAACCUGCCCUUGACUUUGGGAUAACUUCAGGAAACUGGGGCUAAUACCGGAUAGGAGCUCCUGCUGCAUGGUGGGGGGUGGAAAGUUUUGGCGGUUGGGGAUGGACUCGCGGCUUAUCAGCUUGUUGGUGGGGUAGUGGCUUACCAAGGCUUUGACGGGUAGCCGGCCUGAGAGGGUGACCGGCCACAUUGGGACUGGGGUGCGGCCCAGACUCCUACGGGGGGCAGGAGUGGGGAAUAUUGCACAAUGGGCGGAGGCCUGAUGCAGCAACGCCGCGUGCGGGAUGACGGCCUUCGGGUGGUAAACCGCUUUCGCCUGUGACGAAGCGUGAGUGACGGUAAUGGGUAAAGAAGCACCGGCUAACUACGU